rnacentral:lncRNA from 12 species
GGCGGUUGGGGGGGGGUGGGGGGGGAUGGGGUGGAGGAUGGGGACAGGUGGAAGGAUUAGAUAAACAUAUUUGAGUACCGGGACUGGAGCGUGGUGAUAAAACCAGGGGAGGAACCGGGGCAGAGUCAAGGCCGACACCCAUAUUUUUGGCGGGAGCAACGGGGCAGAGGCCUACACCGCUGGCUGUGGGCUUGGGAGCCAGCAGAUAAUUUCAUUUUGAACAUACCGCCAGCGGGUGGAACAUCCGAGAGGCAGCUGCGCAGGCCGGGCUGCGGAAAACAAGGUGGGAAGCGCACAGGUGAUAGCUGAAGCCAGAGGAGGGGGCAGGUGUCCCAGGAAGCACAUGGGGAGGAAGAAGGAUGUUUCUCCUGGAGAAAGUACUCAAGUACUCCACUUGGCCCCGUUGCCGGCCGUGUUGCUGCAGCAGAGACCCGCUAGGUGGCGCCAAAGUACCAGACGGCCUGACAGCCAGCGGGGUGGGGGUGGGGGGGUGAUGGGGGGGGCAACCCAGGGGCCCGGCCUUCUCUUCUCCCCUCCAUGCCCAGUCCCCCACCCCAUCAGAGCCGGGGAGAGAAAAGCAGGAGAUUCGAAGGUUAGAGAUUAGAGUGUACACUGGAGUGGCCUGGGCCUCAAGUCAAAUAGAAGAUUUUAAGAAUUCUCUAAGAAGAGCUGGGACCUGCAAAAAAAAAAGCUUGUGGCAAGGGCUGGGUGUCAGCCCCACUCCCCUGUCUGUCAUCCGGUUUUUUUUUUUUUUUUAAAGGUUUAUUUAUUUAUUUAUUUAUUUAUUUAUUUAUUCAUAGAGACGGGGGUGGGGUGGGGAUAGGGACACAAGCAAAGCAGGCUACAUGCAGGGAGCCCUGAUGUGGGACUUGAUCCCAGGACCCCAGGAUUCUGCCCUGUGCUGCAAGUGGCACUAACUGCUGAGCCACCUGGGCUGCCCCUCUGUCAUCUGUGUUUGCACAGAGCCCAACCUGCACAGCCCUAUGCUGUGAUCUUCCCAGGAAAAGGCAGGAAAUGCCCAUUAUUGGUACCUACCAUGAAACGGUGGAAAUACAGCUGGGUGCCCUUGGCGAAAACCACUUACUCCUCAAAGCCUCCGUCUUCACAUAAAAUGGGGAUUAAUCACAGGACCUACUUCACUGAAUGGUUGUGAGGCCUUAACCACAAAGUGCACAGAACGAACUAGUACUAUGUAUGUCAUAGAGCAGGUGCUCAAAAAGUAUGAUUAGAAAUAUACAAUAAUUAUAAUAAUACAAAUAUGUAAAUGAUAAAUUGUAUUAUUAAUAAUUAGUAGUUCCUGUGGGCACCUGGCUGGCUCAGUCCGUGAAGCAUGCAACUCUUGAUCUCAGGGUUGUAAGUUCCAGCCCCAAACUGGUGUAGAGUUUACUCUUAAAAAAAUAAAAUAAAAUCUUUGCAGUAAUUAGCA